AGGCGUGGCCUGCCCGGGAGAAGGGGCGGGUCAAUCGCAGAAGGCUCAGCACCGUCACUGGGGUUCGGCUGGUUUAAAGUGUGUAUGGGCUGGGGCACACCCUGGCAACUCCCUCUCUUGCCACCCGGGCAAAACAACUUUCAAUCCAAAGGGACAAUCCGAGAGAAAGGCACCACUGUGGCCUCCACACUCCACAGGAGAUCAGGAGCCAAAGCUCGCGCCUGUUUAAAGAGUUGUCACAACACUCAUGGCAAUAGGUACAAAAGAGAACUCCGGAGAAGCAUGGAAUUUACUUCAUAAAAAAGCAAACUAAAACAUCCAGAAGCCGACUCUAAAGCCUCCAGGUUAAGAUGGGACAUCUAAGAGAAAAAACAAACUGCCUCAAAAAAUAGGAAAAAAAAAAAUACCGGAGGUUCUAGGGAAGCGAACAACCCAAGGGCUCCUCCCUACAGAAGCAAUGAGGAUUGCCGAGGGGUAGCCAAGCUGCCUGAAAAAGGUUCCGGUCCGCACAGCUAUGUGGAAGAAGCCGCGAUGAACUGGGCUGCCUGGCAGGACCGGUCAAGUUGACUUGAAGAGAACUGCCUGGUGGAGUCUUCAAUCUCAGGCUGUUGGGUGUGCCCCAUGUUUCCAGCUUUCCAGAGCUAUCAACCUCACUGUGUGGCUCAGCAAAAUGGACUUUGGUAGUGUGUUUUGUGGGUUUUUGGUAAUUAUUUUAUUUAAUGUGCAUUGGUGUUUUGCCUGCAUUUAUGGAUAUGAGGGUGUCAAAUCACUUUGAGUUGCUGGAUCAGACAGUUGUGAGCUGCCAUCUUUCUGGUCCUGGUGUUUCAUGGCAGCAAUGGAAACGUGUUGACAGGUAGCAUCUUCACAUUGGUCUGUCAUCCUUCUCUGGAGUGGACAUCUGUUCACACUUCUUCAGGAAGAGGACCACACUACACUUCUGCAGCCCCAAGCCCAGGAAGCCACGAGCCCACCCACCUCAGAAACCCUCCCAAGAGCAGCCUGGACCUUGAGAAUCCACAGUCAAGAUAUAUCUGUCUGGAGCUCUGGUUCCGCUAACAGGUACCAACCAUGUCCCCCUAGGAUGUUGGCCGUCCCCAUCACUGGACUGCUUUGUGGCUGGGCCCUUUGGGGAUUAGAGGACUCACAUGUGCAGCACCCAUGCUGAGCUGAAGGGCAGCACCCUGCGCUAAUGAUGCUACCUGGCCUGAGGACUCUGCACCCCAGCAGAGCUGACCCAGCACCCAGCGCAGAGGAACCACUGACAAGACUGAGGGUCAGGGCCAGCACGCCCCCUUCACUUCCUGCCUUCUGCCUAGAAGCUAGUUUUGUCCCGGUGUCCUUCCUGUCCAGUCCUGGAGCCUCACAGCCACAAAGGUCUGGAACUGGGGGUCCAGAAGCUCCCCAUGUGGUAGGGUUCACCCCUUACAUUGAAGAACACGGUGCCUCAGGGCUGCAAUUGCAGGGACAGCAGAGAGCCCCUCCCAUCAUCCUCGAGUGACAUCUAGAAUGUGCCUUUUGCUUUAAUGUCUAUUAAAUAAUAAGUUGGUAAGAGAAACAGA